rnacentral:rRNA from 1 species
UACGUAGGGGGCUAGCGUUGUCCGGAAUCAUUGGGCGUAAAGCGCGCGUAGGCGGCCAGAUAAGUCCGGUGGGAAAGUCACAGGCUCAACCUGUGAAUGCCGCUGGAAACUGUCUGGCUAGAGUCCGGAAGGGGCGAGUGGAAUUCCUGGUGUAGCGGUGAAAUGCGCAGAUAUCAGGAGGAACACCUAUUGCGAAGGCAGCUCGCUGGGACGUAACUGACGCUGAGACGCGAAAGCGUGGGGAGCAAACAGG